rnacentral:lncRNA from 1 species
CUUGAGUUUGGGCCGUGAAGCGUGGUUGAAUUGCUCGCAGAGAAGGGGAGCACCAGCAUGCGUCCUGUUGUGGCAGGAAAACAAAACUCUCUCUCGUGUCUCCAUGUUAACACGACUGGAAAUUGAACGUAGGGGGAUCUAGCAUGUGAUUACUCUUUUUAGACAGGAUUUUCUUCAUAGCUGAAUUGGACCGAGUCCUUUUUCUCCCAAACCAGAUGUCAUCAUUUCGAAAAUGUCGGAGGAACCACGGCUGAGUGUUCUCCUGCUCCCACCUGUGCUUUGGGAUGUGAAAGAAUAACAUUAGCACAUAGAGGCCUCCACUUCCUCUUGGCUGCAUCUGGACCAUUUUAUUAGGCAAUCCACUGAGCCUGUGAUCAGUCUGAGAGCAGCUGAUGAUGAGCAGUGCCAGGAUACAGUACUGGGCUGCUGAUCAAUUUUGCAUCUUUCAGGAGACUUGAAAAAUUAGAUUAAUGAAGCAUCACUC